AGAGUUUGAUCCUGGCUCAGGAUGAACGCUAGCGGCAGGCUUAACACAUGCAAGUCGAGGGGUAACAGGAAAAAGCUUGCUUUUUUGCUGACGACCGGCGAACGGGUGCGUAACGCGUAUAGAAUCUGCCUUGUACAGGAGGAUAGCCUUUAGAAAUGAAGAUUAAUACUCCAUAAUAUUGGGAAGUGGCAUCACUAUCUAAUUAAAGAUUUAUCGGUACAAGAUGACUAUGCGUCCUAUUAGCUAGAUGGUAAGGUAACGGCUUACCAUGGCAACGAUAGGUAGGGGGUCUGAGAGGAUUAUCCCCCACACUGGUACUGAGACACGGACCAGACUCCUACGGGAGGCAGCAGUGAGGAAUAUUGGUCAAUGGAGGCAACUCUGAACCAGCCAUGCCGCGUGCAGGAAGACUGCCCUAUGGGUUGUAAACUGCUUUUAUACAGGAAGAAACUUAUCCACGUGUGGGUAACUGACGGUACUGUAAGAAUAAGCACCGGCUAACUCCGUGCCAGCAGCCGCGGUAAUACGGAGGGUGCAAGCGUUAUCCGGAAUCAUUGGGUUUAAAGGGUCCGCAGGCGGUCAAUUAAGUCAGAGGUGAAAUCCUACAGCUUAACUGUAGAACUGCCUUUGAUACUGGUUGACUUGAGUCAUAUGGAAGUAGAUAGAAUGUGUAGUGUAGCGGUGAAAUGCAUAGAUAUUACACAGAAUACCGAUUGCGAA
rnacentral:rRNA from 1 species